AGCUUGCCAUUCGAUAUUCAUGGCGGAAGAAUGCGCGAAUGAUUAAAACGACCCCUGUCCAGGCUGUCCUUAAGCCCUAACUGUAAAUAAGUACCACACUCUGAUCUCUCUCUAAAUUUGAUAAGUGUUCUGAAUUUCUUUCUAUGAUUUUCUACAAUCAAGUCUUUGCUUUUUCCCUUAAUUGGCCAAAAUUUUCUGCAAACGCCAUGGCCACAACCUCCGAACAAUCACAAGAAGAAUUCUCAGAAAUCAGAAGAAGAUUGGCAUCAUUGCUGGAAUUUUCCGUCUCACUGAUAGAGUUUCAGUAUUUCAAGAUUAUUCUGCAUGUUACAAGGCCAAACACAACAUUGCUGGGAAAGAUUCCUGGAACUCAAAUAUACUAAAGUCUCAAUAGUUUAGAAAGAAUGCAUCGAGAGUUUCAUCCUUCCUCGUUUGAAGAAUCUCCCAUCUUUGAGGCCAAUUCAACUUAUCUUUGAGAAAGGUUAAUACUAUUUUUCAAAUUUAGAUUAUUACAAUUGUCUGACUGAUUAUUUCUGCAGUAAAAUAUAUGGCAACUAGGACUAAGUUUUUCUCAGGUCCGUAUAGUUUGUCAUAAACCUUUCUACAGGGUUUUAUUCCUAUUUCACUAUUGAACUAGUAUCUUGGACAAGUGAUAAGUCAUUCUCAUAUACAGAUUUGGUUCAUUAAUUAUAAUCAUGCUGCAGAAUAUUAAGAUGGAUCAGGGAUGAGGACAGGGUCCAAGACAGUGGAGAUGCUGUCCUGAGAUGUAUAAGUUUUGAUAUGACAGCAGUGAAAACCUAAGAUGCUAGUGUUGUCGAUGCUGUAGAAGAUCUUAGAAAAACAAUGGACAAAGGUCCCUUCAGGUAAGUAAUGGAAAGGAUAGAGUAAUUAUGGUAAUAGACUAAUAUUACUUGUUAAUGUGAUACUGGUGAUUGUUGAAUUGUACUGGAGAAACUUUGUAACUUGAAAGUGAUCGAGUCAUUUAAAUCAAGAGGACUUUAUUUGGCAAUUGGAGAAGCAUUAAUUGAUAUAUCAUCAUCCUGGAAGCCAUGGCCUUGAAUAUACAAACUAUUUCUAUUGAAACAUUGGUUAAGAAGCAAGUAGCUUUAGCACUUUUUACUUUUAGGAAUU